AUUGAACGCUGGCGGCAGGCCUAACACAUGCAAGUCGAGCGGAUGAAGGGAGCUUGCUCCUGGAUUCAGCGGCGGACGGGUGAGUAAUGCCUAGGAAUCUGCCUGGUAGUGGGGGAUAACGUCCGGAAACGGGCGCUAAUACCGCAUACGUCCUGAGGGAGAAAGUGGGGGAUCUUCGGACCUCACGCUAUCAGAUGAGCCUAGGUCGGAUUAGCUAGUUGGUGGGGUAAAGGCCUACCAAGGCGACGAUCCGUAACUGGUCUGAGAGGAUGAUUGGUCACACUGGAACUGAGACACGGUCCAGACUCCUACGGGAGGCAGCAGUGGGGAAUAUUGGACAAUGGGCGAAAGCCUGAUCCAGCCAUGCCGCGUGUGUGAAGAAGGUCUUCGGAUUGUAAAGCACUUUAAGUUGGGAGGAAGGGCAGUAAGUUAAUACCUUGCUGUUUUGACGUUACCAACAGAAUAAGCACCGGCUAACUUCGUG
rnacentral:rRNA from 1 species